rnacentral:tRNA from 1 species
AGCAGGGUGGCUUAGGGGAAAGAGCAUGGGCUUGGAAGUCAGAGGUCAUGGGUCCAAAUCCCAGCUCUGCCA